CUCAGAGUUAUGCAGAAGCGCUGGAACAAUGUGUAGAGUGGGGUGCUGAGAGCCAUUGAACCAAACUGUAAACUCUGUAUAUAAUGGAAACCACUUCAAG